rnacentral:tRNA from 1 species
UCGAACUGGUGCGGAACGCAUCGUCUCCGUUGUAGUCGGCGAUGGUCGAGGGGCGGUUGUUGGUCUCGAUCAGAUCGACC